UAUCUGAGCCUCCAAUUAAGAUAUGUGUGUAUUUGUGUAUAUAUGUAUAUAUAUAUAUAUAUAUAUAUAUAUAUAUAUAUACACAAACAAACACACACAUAUCUUAAUUGAAAGCUCAGAAA